GCUUACGUAAGCCCUAGCCCACUGCCCCUGAUCCUGUUCAAGCCCCGUCAAGUGAGCAACAGCAGAGAAACUCAGCAAUGGCGAAGAAGCAAUCUGAAAACUCGGUCCAAUUAAAGCCUAACCACAAAUCUCUAUUGGCCUAUCCAUCGCUUUCUGGAUCGAAAAUAGUGGCUUUUCUAUAGCUCUCGAACACUUUAUCUCCGAAGCUCAAAUUCAGGUGUAUGCAAUUUAUCUAUUUAUUAUUUAUUUUUCACGGGUGAAUAUAAAUGCUAAUGAAUAAGAAAACGAAAAAGUUUAAGUUGGAUACACUGUUAAAGAUAUGUUAUACUGAAUUGGUGGUUGUACUCUGUUCACGUGUAUUCAUGAACUUUUUCCCUGGAGUGCUGGUAAAAUAUUAUAUAUCUUUCUGAGUUCGUAACUGUAACAAGAGAAGAAAUGGAAUGGAAAAAUUGAAAAUUUUCUGGGGACUGCCAAUGGACUUUCGGGAGUAAACUUCUAGAUAUCCAUAAAAUUUCCUGCUUGUUCCCGAAAACAUUGACAAAGAUGAAGUAACUUUGAUUUUGCUAUAUGUUUGCCUAAUUAUACAUGCAUAUCAGUAGCAAUUUAGGCUAUUGGCGUUGAAUAGUUUUAAACAUGAAGGCUGGUGAAAAGUGUGGAGAAAUAAGAGCAAGAGAGAAAAUGCAGUUUUGAUCGUCAUCCAUAUUAUUCAGUGUUACACUCUUGCAGUUUUUUCAUCGGGACAUAGCGCUGUAAAUUCUAGGUCAGGAUGACGAUUGGAAGGCUAGGACGCUUAAUUUAGAGGAUGUAUUCUCCAAGUAUUUGGAAAUCUGGUAAGCUACUUAACAAGGUCAUUUAGUCAGAAUAUAACCAUUUAUGUUCAACGACAAACGGUUUAUUCAUCCCAAGAAUUUACCUGUAGAUUUCAAAUUCAGUUGCCUAUAUUGAUCUUCCUCUUAAGGUCAAUUUUAUUUAAAAGAGUUUAUUAAUAUUUGUUUAGAAAAUCGAGAAAUUGAUAAAUUAGUUAUUAUAGAAAGCCAAGUAUUAUCCUCACUAGAUAGAAUUAGAGGUGACUCAUCUUUAAAGAUCAAAAAGCAAAUCAUUGAGCUUUCCAUCUCUCAUUGUCAGAGUUUCUUGAUAGUUGGUAUUAAAGCCAUUUCUUAGUCUAAAAUAAUUAAUUUAUGAAAAGAAUAGACUAUUUAAAUCUAGAAAUUCUAGGAAAUUUUAGGAGAAAAGAUAGUUUAGAUACAGUCUCUUUAGUUUGUAACUUUGAUAAAAAUUUUAAACACCUUUUAAAUUCUGAAGAUAAGCAGUUAAAUAGUGCUAUAGAUUUACUUGUAAAUUUAGGAGAAAAUUUAGAAAUGAACAAUUUAAACAGAAAGGUAGUAACUUUAUUAGAAAAUAUCAAUAAAAAUAUAAAGACUUUAGAAAGUUAUUUAAAAUAUAUUAAAAACCAAAAUACCGAAAUAUUAAAAAGAAAAUUUAAUAAUAUAAGAGAAAUAGAUACUAGUCCUAACUUAGAAAAAUUGGAAAGUAGAGUUAAAGUAUUAGAAAAAGAAAAGUUAAGAGAUAAUAAACAUUUAAAUAAUAUAAUAAAUAAACUAGAAAAAUUAGAUUUAGGUAAAGCUAAAGAAUCUAGUAAAUUUAAGAAGACUAAGUGGAUUAAUACGUAAUGGAUAAAGGAAAGCAAAUUAUAGCAAGUAGCAGUAAAUUAAUAGGUAAUCCUUUAUUAAGGACAUUAAGUUGAAAAACGGAAUCCGAAACAAGAUUAAAAUCCCUAAUAGAGAUGGACGAAUAGAUAGAAACGUUUAGAUAAAAUAAACUAAAAUUAGCAAAAGAUUUAGAUGUAUAUAAAAAAGAAAAUAUGUUUAGCAUUUAAUAUAUCAACAUUAUGGUGAAAGAUAUGUUUCUUGUACAUAUGAAGAUCAAUUUAUAUCCCUCGAUUUAAUAGAAAAAGAAUCUUAUAAAAAAUUUGUUAAUAAAAAUCUUCAACAAAUUCAUUUAGGAUUAAUAAUAAUAGGAGUAAAAGGAUAUCAUAGAGAAAAUUUAGGAGCUAAAAUAUUAGUAUGUUUAUAUUAUAGCAGAUUCACAGAUAUGAAACAAGAAUUAUUAGGAAGUAUAAAAUUAGGUAUUAAUAAUAAAGGAGAAAUAGUAUAUUAUAUGCCAGAUUAUUUAGUAAUAACAAAAAAAAUGUUAUAAAGAGAUUAAAAUAGGAAUAAAAAGUAAAGGAUAUCAAAUGAAAAGAGAUGAAGAUAAUUUAUUAAUUUUUACAGGAUUCAUAGGAAGACUUAGUUUAAAUAAUACUACUAAUUAUAAAUUAGAAAAUAAUCAAAUAAUUACAUUAUUAAAACAAAAAUGUAUAAAAACUAUCUCAGUGCAGAAAUUCUCUUCAGAGAGAAAUGCAAGAUUAGAUUGAAAUUUAGGAAAUUUCUUAGAAAGACCAAUAUUAGUACCAGAAGAUAACAUCAUGUAUGAAAGUAGUAAUGGAACUUUUAAUAUUAGAUUUGAAAAUUAUAAUUAUGAAGCAGAACAAAAAAAGCACAAUGAAGGAAUGUGGAUGCUUUGAGAUAGAAAAUUAAGAAAAUGAAGAUAAAGUUAAUGUGUUAGAUGAAGACAGUGAAAAAGAUGAAAUUGAGGACGAUGAAAAAGAAUUCUAAUAUAUAGAUAUGAAGUACUAUAGAAAUCUUAGAAAGACUAGAGAAAUAGAAAUUAGAAUGUUAAUAGAAAAGACCAAGCAAACAUAGAAACCAAGAUAGAAGAAGUUAGCAAAAGAACUAAAUUUGAAACAGACCAAAAAUUCGGAAAAAGAAAAGAUCCCAUGAAUGCAAAAUAUGAUAUAAGAGGUAAAUACCCUUUUCCCCUACAAGAGAUUUUGGAUGGAAAGAUAAAAAUUAUAAAAGUUUAGAGCAUAUAACUAAAUGAGAAAAUUUUGUAAUUAUAGCAUAUAAUAGUGCACCUAUACAAAUGAUUGUAAAAGAAAUGUGGGCUUACUUAGAACUUAUAUAGGAAAGACGGCAUUAGACAUGUACGUUAUAGCAAAAAGACAAAAACAAGAAGAAAUUAGAUUAAGAAUGGCCAUAGGAGAUAAUCAUCAAUUCCAAAAUGAUGAAUAUAUGAAAAUUGUGGUUUUGAUUCUCAUGUUAUUGAGCUUUUGCGGUGGUGCAGUAAUGAUCACAACAAAAAUUUAAUUCUCCAGAUGGGGCAAAGUAAGCUUUUGUGAUGUAAUCGCCUGUCAUUUUGUUUAUUUUUUCUUCAUGCUUUUAGUACAAUAUAAUGAUCAGGAAAAUGUUACGAGUCGCUCUUAUCUAUGAUGUGUUUUCUUACAGAAAAACUUGCAGGUGAAGCAGCAGAUAAACACCAAAGGAUUCUGCUGAUGGAAAAGUUUGCGAAUUACCAAUUGAUGAAUCUACUAGAAGCCAGAAAGACAAGAAGAAGAAAGGCAAGUUAACGUGUGAAUUACUAGACAGUGAUGAAAAGCAAAUAGAUGCGAGGAUAAUAGCAACAGGACAACAUGGUAGCGACAUUUCAUCAUAUGGGAAUAAAUUCCAGGCUAAAUAAAAGAAGAGAAAGAAAGAGGCUACAGCUUCUACAGAAUCAUCUGGUUCUGGUACAGAGAUAUGUGAUAGUGAAAACUCAAUAUUUGGAAAACCUAAACAAAAUUGAUUGAGUGUAGAAGAUUGUGUUGACGAAUAUAAGAUGGCUUCCUAGAAAUGAAAAAGAUUUACUCUUGAUGAAAAUGAGAACCACCCUGUAGAAGAAGUAGCAGUUGAAGAAUUAAAGCGCAGAAAGCCUGGAGGCUUAGAAGAAUUGAAGGUUGUUGAGCAGCAAAUCACUAUCUCUAGAGCUAAUGGACUUUGCUGAGUCUCCGAAUUUUCUGUUAAGAAAGUUGAUGAAAGCACUAACGGUAAUAUCAACAGGAAUGAACUGAAAAAUUCCAGUCAACCAAAAUCUGGGAGGAGACAGCGCAACAGUUCUGCUGAGGUAUACGUUUCUGUAUAUAUUUAUCCCUUUCCAUUUCUAUUUUGUGUUUUUUCUUGUUUACCUUUUUUUAAAAGAAAAAAUAAAAACAAAUAUAAAUCAAGCAGAGCUGCUCAGCAGAAGUCAUUCUGUUAGAGGAUCUUGUUGUAAACUAAUUAAAAAGUUGAAGUGAAAAUAAAAACAGAGUCGAGGAAAAUCUGGCUGAGGCUUGAAGCUAACAUGGUGAUUAAUCAGGAGAAGGAAUUAUAAAAGAAGGGGCGAGGAAAAUCCGUGGGUACUUGAAACUGCAGGAAGAAGAAAAGUAAAAUCUUAUGAAAUAAAUGAAUCAAGUUUUCUUUUGGCCGCCCCAGUUUAUAAAUGAUUUAUAUAUUUAAUCAAAGUCAAAUAUUAAUUUCAACCACACAUACAUAACUAUUACUCAUUUAUUAUCCACACAUUUCGAGGAACACACUACUAUUCCUCUUUAUAAUGGUUCAUAAAUUUGCCAAAAGGAGGCUAAGUGAUCAAAUAGGCCUGGAUCAUUUUCCCAUAAAGACGAUAAAAAUGACUUUAAACCCAAAGCAAUGCUGAUCACCACAAUGAUUUUUGAAAGAUUUUAGCAUUCUUAGCGAUCCAUGUGCACCAUCAUAGCACAGCUCCACAUUAUUUUUGCUUCUUUACUAGUGCUACUAUCUGAAAUCUUACAAUUAAAUAAAUCAACCAAAGCUGUUUCUGGACAAUGGACUCUUUGAAGUCUAGAAUCAAUCUCAAACAUGAUUUUUCUAGUGAAAUCAUAAUGUAAGAAAAGAUGAGGUCCUGUUACGUCACCUACAUAUGAAUUAAAUGACAAAGCUCAUGGGAGCUAUGCUUUUAUGACCGAUCACUACUUGAUUUUCA
rnacentral:lncRNA from 1 species